GUAAGUUUUAAUGUUGAGCUAGAAAACCCCCCGUUUUUUCUAGCUCACACACUAAAACUUUCAG
rnacentral:pre_miRNA from 1 species